rnacentral:rRNA from 1 species
AUUGAACGCUGGCGGCAGGCCUAACACAUGCAAGUCGAACGGUAACAGGAAGCAGCUUGCUGCUUCGCUGACGAGUGGCGGACGGGUGAGUAAUGUCUGGGAAACUGCCUGAUGGAGGGGGAUAACUACUGGAAACGGUAGCUAAUACCGCAUAACGUCGCAAGACCAAAGAGGGGGACCUUAGGGCCUCUUGCCAUCGGAUGUGCCCAGAUGGGAGUAGCUAGUAGGUGGGGUAACGGCUCACCUAGGCGACGAUCCCUAGCUGGUCUGAGAGGAUGACCAGCCACACUGGAACUGAGACACGGUCCAGACUCCUACGGGAGGCAGCAGUGGGGAAUAUUGCACAAUGGGCGCAAGCCUGAUGCAGCCAUGCCGCGUGUAUGAAGAAGGCCUUCGGGUUGUAAAGUACUUUCAGCGGGGAGGAAGGGAGUAAAGUUAAUACCUUGGCUCAUUGACGUUACCCGCAGAAGAAGCACCGGCUAACUCCGUG